GAAUUUCGGACAAUGGGCGAAAGUCUGAUCCAGCAACGCCGCGUGCAGGAUGAAGGCCCUCGGGUUGUAAACUGCUUUUGUACGGAACGAAAAGCUGUGGGUUAAUAUCCUGGAGUCUUGACGGUACCGUAAGAAUAAGCACCGCCUAACUCUGUGCCACCAGCCGCGGUAAUAAGCAGGCUGCAAGCGUCAAUCGGAAUUAUUGGGCGUAAAGCGUGCGCAGGCGGUUUUGUGAGACAGAGGUGAAAUCCCCGGGCUCAACCUGGGAACUGCCUUUGUGACUGCAAGGCUAGAGUACGGCAGAGGGGGGUGGAAUUCCGCGUGUAGCAGUGAAAUGCGUAGAUAUGCGGAGGAACACCGAUGGCGAAGGCAACCCCCUGGGCCUGUACUGACGCUCAUGCACGAAAACGUGGGGAGCAAACA
rnacentral:rRNA from 1 species